rnacentral:rRNA from 1 species
GACAGAGGGUGCAAACGUUGUUCGGAAUUACUGGGCGUAAAGCGCGUGUAGGCGGCUAUGUAAGUCGGGCGUGAAAUCCCACGGCUCAACCGUGGAAGUGCACCCGAAACUGCGUAGCUAGAGUCCUGGAGAGGAAGGUGGAAUGCUUGGUGUAGAGGUGAAAAUUCGUAGAUAUCAAGCGGAACACCGGUGGCGAAGGCGGCCUUCUGGACAGUGACUGACGCUGAGACGCGAAAGCGUGGGGAGCAAACAGG